GAAUGUGAGGGCGAUCUGGCUGCAACAUCUGUCACCCAUUGAUUGCCAGGACUGAUUUGCUGCUCUGGCUGGCUAAGAAGGCAUCCCUUCCUCCCUCAGUGUUCCAUGUGUGUCUCUCCGGAAGCCACGUGCUUGGUCAAAGAGGACAAUCACCCUGGAGAGCAGAAAAAUGUUUCUUUGGUAAAAGGUACAUAAGUAACUGUAUGGCCAUGCUAGAACCUCCAAACAAGCUCUAAAGAUAAUCUAAGGAGGUGCCAAAUAAACAGAGG
rnacentral:snRNA from 1 species